AACGUUGCUGAUGGCGAUGGGUAUGUGAUGGUGGCUGGUGUGGUGGACGACCCAGAAUAUGUGGCCUCGCAAGUGCACAUGUAUGUAGCUUUCCUACUCAAAUGCUUCUGUUUCUGCCCCAGCUACUAAGCCAAUAAACACCAAAUCUGGAAUGAGAAAGAGGAUGAGGUCUACUUGAUUGGUGUUUUAUCCAUUUUGUUUGUUCAUGGUGUGUGCAUUGAUUCCCAUGAACUAUAACCUGAUUUGAUGCUACCUUGUCUUUUUUUCAACUUGCAAGGAUUAAGGAUGUAAAGAAAACUAAUUUUAUCGCUCGUAGAGAAUUGUAUUUAUUGUUGACAAUGCUGUGUAAAUAGAAUACCUGAUUGUCUUUUGCAACUUAAUUUCCUUGCAUUUUAAACUCUCAUUUUGAACGAUUAAGGUUACUCUCAUGAACAAUUUUGCUAAACAUUUAUCACAUCUUCUUAAGUGUAGAAUAAUGCAUAUUUUGUUUACCUUUUUAGAUCUUUUCUACUGCUUACAUUUGGUGUUUCCAUUGAAGUUAUUUGGUUCUGGUCUCAGCAGCAGUACACUCUAAGGCACUUUAUGUUCACUCUUUUACAGGAGCUCUAGGCUUAAUUUUUUUGAAGUGUGAAGCUGUGUAGCCAAGUGCGAAGGAGUGAAUCCCUACUUAUCAAAGAGUUUUUUGGUUCUGUAGUUUGUUGAGCAUGAUCAAUCUGACCAGUGAGAACACUUUAAGAUGCAC
rnacentral:lncRNA from 1 species